ensembl:lncRNA
UGGGUUUUAUUAAUUCGCAAUUGUUGCAUUUUUAUCAGGCGUUUAGUUGUCGAGUUGCCAAAAAAUGUUUUGGUCCCACAGCUGUUCGCAACUCCUUCCUUGAUUAGAGUAGGUGAUAGUUUAAUUUGCACACAGCGGGAGGAAACGCGCGCACACACUCGCAUUUUUUUUGUGGCAGAAUUUUCAUGAAUGCGCUUAAAAUAUGAGUUGGUUGGGAACUCAGCUAAUGUUAACUAAGCAAGGCUCAGAAGCAGGCUAGCGGUAGGUUGUAUUUUUCAUUGUCUCUUCAGGAAGGCCCUCUGUGCCAGUGGUUGCUUGGAGACAGGAUAAACUUUCGGUCGGGAGUGAAACAUAGCUCAUGCAAAUAUCCUUAGCAGACUAUUCUUACAACAGUACCGGCUUGUCUUCAACUUGCUAACUUUGCUUAAACAUUUACAGACAAAAUGGGGACGUUGACUCUUCCAUCGAUAAACAAAGACGAUCCUCGCUUCAUUCUGCAAGUGGAGAACAAAAUGAAGAACAUUUUUGUCACGCAGCUACAAGGGACGCGAGAGGUGGAGGAUGCCAACACCAAUCUCAUCCCUGUAAUAACAGAGCCCAGGAGCAGGAUUUUGGAGACCGGAGUAAACACCAUGCAGAGAACCCUUGUAUUAAAGAAACAAGUUGAACUGGAUGAAUUAGACAGCAAGUUUGCACACAAACGACAAGAGUUCAAAGUUCGAAUGGAGGCCCUGGAACACAGGAGGGCUGACCUGGAGCAGAAACAGAAGCAGACCAAAGAUAAGGCAUCAAAGUUUGAGAAGUUUGUGGAGGAGAAUGAGCUUAAACACAGACGAGCUCUGAAGAAGUUCCAGGUGGAGCAGAGGCUUAAUGAUCUGAAACACAAAGAACUCACGGGGCUCGUGGAAGAGUUGGAAACACUUCAGACCAGACAGGAGGAGCUCAGGGGGCUGGUGUCAAAACACAAAAUGUUUGAAGAUUACCUAAUGAAGAUUUUGGAUGUACUCCCAGAAAGUUACUAUGGGAACGGAGCAGACUCCCUGGUCAUGUCCAUCCUCAGGAGGCAUGAGACCCUGUCCAUCACUCGUCAAGAUCUCGUCGGGCAACUGGGUUCCCUCGCAGAGGAGCUGGAACUAGGCCAGAGGAACCUGGACGUUCUGAAGCAGGAGCACAACACAAAUAAACUGAUGAUCAAUAAGGAGUUAUCAGAACUGCAGACGAAGUGGGAUCGAGUCACAGAGAGGGCCAAACUGCUGGAGAUGACCACACAAAUCCAUCAAGGCCAAUCUCGAGACCAGGUAGAGGAGGUAGGAAGCCUCCUGAUGGCGGUCAGGAACCUCGGUGAACAGUGCUACCUAUCACACUACGGUCCUCUUGAGGAGAUGGAUGUGCUAGAUAUGAUAGAUAUGAUCAAGGAGCACUUGCUGGACAUAGCAGACAUGGAGGAAAGAGCCACACUCCUCGGAGAAUCAGAUUCUGUGGCAAUUAGUAGCUUUGCAGUUGGCAGAGAGAAAGGAUCACAAACAAUGAAAAAAAUUAAAAUAGUUCAGGAGCUCCAAGAAAGUCAUGCUGACAACUGGACUGCUAAGCACAUUCGUAAUGCCAAAGGAACAUUUAAAUGAAACAUUGACACAUUGUGAGGAUGUUGGAGCCGAAAUGUUCAGAUGCUACUCUUUUUUUCAAUAUAUAGCACCACAGAAAACCCAAAAGGGUACCAGUAGUCAGGAACAUUGUAGUACUUUAAGAAUCAAGUUUGGAAAGUAACACUGGAUGGCACCAAAAUUUAAAAUGGAAUCACAGUGCUUGCAAUUGCAUUCUGUCUUCGAGUCUUCUAUCUGCUAUUGUUUGUCUUCUAGUCUUCGAUCUGCUAUUGUUUGUCUUCUAGUCUUCUAUCUGCUAUUGUUUGUCUUACAUUUACAUUUACAUUUAGUCAUUUAGCAGACACUUUUGUCCAAAGCGACAUACAAGGGAGAGAACAGUCAAGCUAAGAGCAAUAAAAAACAUGGUGUAACAAUAAAUAACAUAAGAAUUACAAAAACGACCUAGAAAGGAAAAAGAAGUGCAGGAAUGUAACUGCUGAAGUGCAAGUUAAGCGCUAGUCAAGGUGCCAGUUAGGAAGGGAGGUGCUCUCUGAAGAGUUGGGUCUUCAAAAGCUUGAAGGUAGAGAGGGACGCCCCUGCUCUGGUAGUACUAGGCAGUUCGUUCUACCAACGUGGAACUACAAAUGAGAAUAGUCUGGAUUGCCGUGCUUGCACAGACGGCAGUGCCAAAUGACGCUCACUAGACGAGCGCAGCGUCCUGGGUGUAACAUUUGCCCUUACAAGAGCAUUUAGGUAGGUGGGAGCAGAUCCAGCAAGCACUCUGUAGUCUUCUAACCAAUUGUCUGUAUUCAGAUCCCUUUGAAUCACUUAAGAAUCAUGUAAGGCUUAACACAGACCUUUCAUUCUGUUGAUAAAAUGUUUGGAGAAACUUUUGGGAUUUGUCAAUUUAAUUAUUUUUAAGCUAUAUAAAUAAAAAUGUACAAGUUACCUGUAGGAAUGCAUGGUGGAAUCUUCAUUUUUAACUGUCAGUUGAUGUUGAUCACUGUAAAUGAAUAACUUAUUUACGCAUUCACUUUAUCUAGUACACAUAGUACACAUGCACAACAAAGCUAAAUUCAAUUAGCGGAAACAAUUUAAAAUUCAUAUGAGGAAAAAAACUAUCCUUUAAAAGAUCCACCAUC